rnacentral:lncRNA from 1 species
AUAUAUAUAUACAUACCUAUAUAUAUAUGUGUAUAUUUUGUAUAUAAACAUAUAUGUACAUAUAUAUAUAUAUAUAGCUAUGUAUGUAUAUAUGUAUGUGUGUGUAUAUAUAUAUAUAUGUGUAACAAAACAUAUAGACAAAUUUCAUUACAUUUAUAUUUAUUUGAUUUUCAUUCUUUGUGAAUUUUCUCAACUAUUUUGAUAUUAGGGUCACACUAAAUGUAGAGAUUAAGAUUACAGUUAAGAAUGCAUUGGUGGAACCGGACAAGAUAAUCUUGGGCUGAGACCAGAUAAAAGAUAUAACAAGAUUAUUUCUUUAAUGUAUACAAAGAAACAGGACCAUAAAUUAGAAAAAAAAACACCUUUUAUCAAUUCAAAAUGAACAAUUAAACUACACCAUCUAGAAAAUUACAUAUAUUAGAAAUAUUAGAAUUAAAAUAACAAUAAAAUACCAAUGAUUAAGUAAAUUGCAAAUAAUUAUUAUUAUUAUUAUAUAUAUGGGUACAUAUGUUUUCUAUAAUUUUUAUAUACCUAUAUUUAUGUAUAUAUUAUGUACAUACAUGUAUUUUCAUGCAUGUGUAUAUAUAUAUAUAUAUAUAUAUAUAUAUAUAUAUAUAUAUAUACCAUAGAUAUUUAUGGAACAAUGUAUAUGUAUACAUGCCCACUUACACAUAUGAAUAUAUAUAUAUAUAUAUAUAUAUAUAUAUAUAUAUAUAUCCAUACACACAUGUAUAUGUGUGUGUGGUGCAUGUGUUAAGAAACAUGUAACACCUCUCCAGAAACACGUCUCAAGAAUUUUACGUUUUCACUUUUCUUGAUUUCUUAUUUUUCGGCUUUUGCAACUGGCUUUUUUAGCCCUAAAUAUUUAGAAUUAUAAACUCAAGUAUAUGUGUAUAUAUAUAUGUAUUUAUAUCUAUAAAUUUUUUGAUAAAUAGAUAUGCAUAUAUAUUUACAUAUAUAUAUACACACACACAUAUAUAUGUGUGUGCAUAUAUGAAUAUAUAUGAAUAUAUAUAUAUAUAUAUAUAUAUUUAUAAGUUCAGCAAAAUUUAGAUUCAGAUGAAUAUGGUACUUAAGUUAAAGGCACCAGAAUUUUGUAUGGUAUUAUCCAUAUAAAUCAAAUGGGGCGAUUAUAAUCAAAAUAAGCAACAAGUAUACCCAAGGUAGAGUAGUACAAUUGUUUCAUGCUACUUCAUUUUAUUUAACACUGUAAGUAUUACAUCAGUUUUAAAAUGUCGAGCAAUCUUCAAUCUAAACAGACAAUGCACAUUCUUAUCCAUAUUUCAUUUGCUAACAUUAUAAAGAGGGUAGGUAUAUAUAGACAGAGAGGUUGAUAUCAUUCUUAAGAACAUGAUAGUAGCAUGUUCACUCACCGUCUCUCUCUCUAUAUAUAUAUUUAUACACACACAUAUAUAUAUAUAUACAUAGAUGUAUUUAUGUACGUAUGUAUUUCAUUUUUGUUACCAUCAAAGAUUAAAGGUGUGAAGCAUGUAUCUGUAAUUCCUAAUAUCCUGGUGAUGUUAGUUCUUAUUUGUGAGACAAUGGUAACAAAGUCAAAAAAAAAAUUUUUUUUAAAUAACCUCAGCAAACAGAGUCGAGGAAAAUGUGAUGAAACGGAAGAGAAGAUAAAACGUACACCACUGUUGUGAAUUAAAAACAAAGUCAAAAUUAAUUUAAUCUACAUGGAAAGAAAACUUGACAUAUUUCUUUAUUUUGUGGUGGGACGGGGGGUUUUCUUUCUAUUGUGAUGUAUCUGGGGAUUUAAAAUUUAAUAAGGGGUUGAGCAAGAUAUAUGUGUAAUCCCAAAAGAUUUUUUUUGUUCAAAAUCAGGGCUUCAGUUUAUCACUUGAGCCCGUUUAAAAAAACACUAAACUAGAAAUUCUUGGACUACAGAGAGACCAAGAAGGACUAAAUUACUAAUAGCAGUUCAAUUGCUAUUUGAACCAUUAAAAAAUAUCUAUGUCAAUGAAAAAUGCUGGAAAAUCCUGGGAUAGGAACAGAAUGUGAACUAAAUACCCAGAAAUGUUUUCGGGUUUACAAUUGAGGGUUUUCUGUGUAAACCCAUUUAAAUAUUGGGUUGUUAGAUAAAUUUGGUUUUUGUUUUGUUGUUUUUUAAUUUUUUUCUUCUACUUGGCAUUUCAUCAUCAUAUGUCUGGAAAGAGGUGAAAUUUAUUCAAAUUUCAAAAAUGAUAAACCAAAGUUGUACAGGAAGAAUAGAAUUACAAAAAAAAAAAAACACUAUGAUAAAAAUAUUUUUUGUGUUGAUUCAAAUAACUGUGGAAAGGAUUUAAAAGCCAGCGAGGCAGACAAAGAAUAAAUUUAUCUGACAACCCAUGGCAAAUCCUGAGAUAAAAAUUAAAUAACUAAAUUUAUGGAAAAGUUCAUGAUUCCAUAGUCCCACAUAAAGCCAUUAAUUUACUUUAACAGGAACAAUGGCAAGUUCUGGGCAAAGCAAGAAUUUGAUAAAAUCUAAGAAAACUUAUUUGAGUUCAGAAUCCGC